rnacentral:rRNA from 1 species
AUAUCAAUAAGCGGAGGAAAAGAAACCAACAGGGAUUGCCUCAGUAACGGCGAGUGAAGCGGCAAAAGCUCAAAUUUGAAAUCUGGCUCUUUCAGGGUCCGAGUUGUAAUUUGUAGAAGAUGCUUCGGGUCCGGUACCGGUCUAAGUUCCUUGGAACAGGCGUCAUAGAGGGUGAGAAUCCCGUAUGUGACUGGUGCCCGAACCCAUGUGAAGCUCUUUCGACGAGUCGAGUUGUUUGGGAAUGCAGCUCAAAAUGGGUGGUAUAUUUCAUCUAAAGCUAAAUAUUGGCCAGAGACCGAUAGCGCACAAGUAGAGUGAUCGAAAGAUGAAAAGCACUUUGGAAAGAGAGUUAAACAGUAC